rfam:Anolis carolinensis chromosome 4, whole genome shotgun sequence.
AGUUUGAGAAACACUGUCCUAAAGGCAUCAGAUCCUUUCUGAUCUUGGAAGCUAAGUUGGGUCAGCUAUGGUUAAUACUUGGAUGGCAGGUCACUAAUGAAGACCAGGUACUGUAUUUC